UGGGNGAACUAAAAAAGAAGGUGCUGGGC
rnacentral:piRNA from 1 species